CGGACGGGUGAGUAAUGUCUGGGAAACUGCCUGAUGGAGGGGGGUAACUACUGGAAACGGUAGCUAAUACCGCAUAACGUCGCAGACCAAGAGGGGGACCUUCGGGCCUCUUGCCAUCGGAUGUGCCCAGAUGGGAUUAGCUAGUAGGUGGGGUAACGGCUCACCUAGGCGACGAUCCCUAGCUGGUCUGAGAGGAUGACCAGCCACACUGGAACUGAGACACGGUCCAG
rnacentral:rRNA from 1 species